AUGAACGCUGGCGGCGUGCCUAAUACAUGCAAGUCGAGCGAACGGACGAGAAGCUUGCUUCUCUGAUGUUAGCGGCGGACGGGUGAGUAACACGUGGAUAACCUACCUAUAAGACUGGGAUAACUUCGGGAAACCGGAGCUAAUACCGGAUAAUAUUUUGAACCGCAUGGUUCAAAAGUGAAAGACGGUCUUGCUGUCACUUAUAGAUGGAUCCGCGCUGCAUUAGCUAGUUGGUAAGGUAACGGCUUACCAAGGCAACGAUGCAUAGCCGACCUGAGAGGGUGAUCGGCCACACUGGAACUGAGACACGGUCCAGACUCCUACGGGAGGCAGCAGUAGGGAAUCUUCCGCAAAGGGCGAAAGCCUGACGGAGCAACGCCGCGUGAGUGAUGAAGGUCUUCGGAUCGUAAAACUCUGUUAUUAGGGAAGAACAUAUGUGUAAGUAACUGUGCACAUCUUAACGGUACCUAAUCAGAAAGCCACGGCUAACUACGUG
rnacentral:rRNA from 1 species